GCAUCCUGGGCCGGCCCUAUUGAAAACAAAACAAGAUGCAUAAUUCCAAACCCUAAUCGCCUUUCGACCGUAGAAAACCCUAAUCCCUUUCCUUUAAAUACUUUCGUUAUCUCAAUCCUUCUUCUUCAUUCUCAUUCUACCUUCAAAUAAUCUACUCUUCGUUUAUUUAUUUAUUUUUUAUGAAAAAUCUAAACCAUAUGAUGAAUUUGGAUUCUCAAUCUCACGACGGUCGUCUGAGUUUAACGUUGAUGAAUUGAUCCAAUAUUUCUGAUGGUUAAGUACGCACUUAUCUGGUUAGGUUUCUAGGGAUUAGGUUUUAUAAGUUUCCGAAUAUCACCCUGGAAUGAGUAUUGUACGGAUUGUUCUUGAUAAUUUACCUCUUGUUGAGAAGUUGCCGUGAUUUGUUUGUAGCAAUUUGAUUUUGGUUCAAUUUUAACUAUUCUGGCAUGGUGGCCUCUCUUGAUGUUACUUCCAAAUAGGUAGAUUUGAAUUCAUAUUUAUAAAUUUUUUGCAGGUUUGAAAUCUGGUUGAAGGUGCCACCAUAAAGUGAUCACAUUAAUAUAUUGAUGUCGAAAAUGCAAGCUAAUUGGGUAAAACCGAUUACGGACACCUGCUCAUACAUUUGUGAUUAUGAAAAAUGAUUAGGAUUGUUGUUGUGUCAGUUUGUUAAAUUUGGGGUGUCUAUACUUCAUAAUGGGCACGAUUGGAAUAACAUGCUUUCAGGAUUUUCGUGGAUAUUCAGGAUUUAUUUCCGUGAGGAAAACGUUUUUGGUUUGUAUGUAUGUGCUCUUUUAAAUGAAUGUGUUUUCCUUCUCCUAUUUUACUUUGGGUUAACCUUUGGGUGAGUCCCCUGCAAUGUGAGUGUGUUAUUUAAGGAUAUGUCCCUUAAUCAGGGUGAGUUCAUCAAAUAGACGUAAGGGUGAGUCCCUUGGUUAAGUCUUUUGUUUGGGAAUGAGUCAUCAUCCCCUUACCAAAUGUCUACUAAAUGUCUACUAAGUAACUUGCGUGGUAGUUGGUGAUGUAUAACAUCUAUCAUUCAAAUGAGAUAGACUCGAUUUAGUUUAGUGUGAGCAAUUACAACAAUUGUAGUUUCCUUGAGAUGUUAGAUAGACUUGGACUUCACACUUGUUCAAAACAUGCCAAGCUUUUUAAAAGUUUCUUUCGGAGCCGAAAAGGUUUUUUUGAAUGUUUGUAGCUAUAUAAUUUCCCUAUAAAAGAUUCCUCAUUCUCCUGUUUUUUUCUUUACUCCUUUUUCUGCUUGAACAAAUUUAUACAAGUUUAUUCUAACUUUUUCUCUAUUUGCAACCCAUUUAGGUAUUGAUUCUUUUUAUCUUUUCUCUUGAUUUUUUUCUUUACUCAUUUUUCUGCUUGCACAAUUUUAUACAAGUUUAUUCUAACUUUUUCUCUAUUUGCAACACAUUUAGUUAUUGAUUCUUUUUAUCUUUAUUCCUUCUAAUUGUUAUGGUUGGAGAUUUUAGAUAGUUUAUUCUUCGGCCUUUAGCCUGGUGCUAAGUUUUAUUUUUCUUAGAUCGAGGGUUUUAGUAAUCUCGUUAGCUAUGGUGGUGUCAAUAUCUUUUUGUUCUUGUGUUCUAGGGAACAAAGUGAUGAUAGUUUACCCUCUGCUGUGUCAAAAGAGUUCAAAGAUAUUGGAGUCUUUCAUAUCCCUGUGGAAAUCUUUCAUGUAGAGGAUGAAGAGAUUGUUGUUUUGGAAAGUCUUUUAACAUUGCCCCUUCUUAGUUAAUUAAGGCUUUGUUAGGUCGUUCAAAUUGGUGUGCCAAGGGCUAGAAGUUUACUCCAGUAUUGGGUUGAAAGGGGAUCCAACUUUUAUAAAAGGGUUAGAUAACCCAAGGUGGCAUUUUAGGGAAUGAGAUAUUCAAAGCCCAUUCCAACGAUUCUAAGAAUUAGAAGGACAAAUUUGUAUAAGUGAGACUGUGAGUGGAUUCUUGUAUUGUGAUGGAGGAGAAUGAUGCCACCUAUGCCCUCUACCUUAGAAGGAAAAACUUGCAGCUAUUAUUGGAUAUGACUAUAUAAGUACUUGACAUCCAACGAGUCCAAGGUAGCUCGUCUUUUAGAGAAUUUGUGGUAGGGGAAUAGUGACCCCCUUGAUAAUUACUUGAGUAUGAUUAAAUACUUUGGUGCUUUUAUGUAUUGUUUUGCAGGUCAGAUGGCUAAGGUUUUCUUAGAGGAAAAGUUGAGAUGAAAUCCAGACCAGGUGUGGGGAGACAAAUAGCCCACAGUCAUCUUGAGGGCUUUAUUAUCAAGGGAAAGAAGAGGUGGGAUGAAGAAUAACUUACUUGCCCAAUGCUAAGAUCCCAAACAUAAAGGGGGGUUUUCAUUGGUUGCUUGGGACAAAGUUGUUCUGCCUACCUCGAAGGAGGUGGGUGCUCAAAGGCCACCUAAUGGCGAGGCUCUACCACCUCAUUAUUCUUUGUGGAGUGCCUCUAGUUUUGAUGUUAUUUAGUUUAUUGAUCGUUAUCUUUGUUUAUCUUCAAAGUUCCCUAAUGACUACUAGAACAUUUGUAAUAUUGGAAUGUGUUGACCGAGAUAGGUGAACCCAGGUCUAAAAAUUGUUGAGUGGGAAGCUUAAGAAAUAUGAUGAGGGUUAUUGCAAAAGCAAGAAGUUGGAGAAGGAGUCCUUAGAAACAUGGUGGCCCGUUGUAGCGUCCAAGGCCAAAGAAAUUGAUGCCCAAAGAGAAACCGUUGAUAUUAUCCUUAGUGGAUGCCUUCCAUUUCAAAAAGCAAUUUGAGGGCAAGUGUCAUGCCUCAAGGAUGACUUGGUGGUAAACUCUAGUACUUCUUUUAGGCAUACGAAGGAACAUUUGUCCUUCUUCUCCCACAUUGGACCUAGACAUUUUAAAUAUUUUUAAAGUUAUCUAGGAAGGUAAUUUGGUGGAUGAGAAGGAGAGGUCCUCACCAGAACACAAAAGAUCCCCCAUAUGAUAUGAUUCUCAGGAUGGUCCUAGUGCUGAUGUAUCCCCCAAUGAAAAAAUGUUUUUGUGUUCUUUGUUUCUUCAGGCCCUUUCUGGCCUUUUAUUGUCUUCUUGUUCCUAGGGGAUUUGUGUAAAAACUUAAACUAAUACCCUUUCAAAGUGUUUUUGUAUUAAUUGCCUUAUUAUAAUUUAUAUAGUUUUUUUUGUUCA